rnacentral:rRNA from 1 species
UACAGAGGUCCCAAGCGUUGUUCGGAAUUACUGGGCGUAAAGCGCACGUAGGCGGGCGAUUAAGUCAGGGGUGAAAUCCCGGAGCUCAACUCCGGAACUGCCUUUGAUACUGGUCGUCUAGAGAUCGGAAGAGGUGAGUGGAAUUCCCAGUGUAGAGGUGAAAUUCGUAGAUAUUGGGAAGAACACCAGUGGCGAAGGCGGCUCACUGGUCCGAUACUGACGCUGAGGUGCGAAAGCGUGGGGAGCAAACAGG